CACACUCAGAUUCAGACACAGCAAUUGCUAUUCUGUACGCAGCAGGUGGUUAACGUUACUUCGCCUACUAUCAGCGGUGUAUUGUUUGUUUGGGUAAAUUGCUAAUCAAUGCAAACAGGAUGUUGUCUUGCUGCGGUUUCAGUCCGCCUUGUUCCUGGGAAGCGACAUGCUCACGGAGUUGUUGUGAAACUGUCAUCGGAGACGUGAAGAAGGAAGACAGAAGCGAAAUUGUCGCGGAACUAACCAGGAUGGACAUUGCACUUUUAAGGGAACAGUAUAACUGGAUUAAAGAGAAACAAAAGCUCCAGACCCAGGUUGUUUUAUUCAGUCAAGCCGAUGAUCCAGCUGAAAUGAGUGGCCAACCUCUGAUCAACGUGGUCCCAGUCAACCAAGAGAUGAAGAACACACGGGAAAUGGAGCGAUUGGUCUCCGAGGCUAAAAUUGACAUAGUUGGUGAACUAGAUGGAAAUACAUGGCGCACACACCUGGGAGUCCACCGACGGAAAAAUAUUAUCAUACCGACUCAUCCAAACCCCACAGUUAGCUCCACUAAUUGUUCGAGUUUUAAAUCGUUAUCUGAACAUUGUGCUGAGACUUCUAGUGAGAAAAUCUUGAGGGAUUCUGAUUCUGCAGAGAUGAGUACCAGUAACAGCAUUUCAGGCUCCCACAAAUUAUCCGGCCUAUCUGUUAUGUCCAGACGGCUGAGUUUAGGGGACCAUGGGCCAUCACCUGUGCUCUCCUCUGGCCUCCAUUACCCCUUCCCCAAGAGAAAAGGGCCCAAUAAAUCAGAGGCUGCCAGGAGACUUGGGAUGUAUGCAUCAUUCUGAUCAUCUACUGCAAGACUCAUCUACUUCAAACAUUUUUUUCUGUUUUCUGAGCAUGAAACUUGUUGAUUCAGUAUAAGGACAUUUGUACUCUGAAAAGAAAAGGUUCUUUUACAUUUCUUUCAAAAUUAAACUGUAGGGGAACCUAUACGUUCUUUGAAGAUCCAAGUGAGACCUUAAGAACCUUUUCUUUUGAGUAUAUGGUAAUUCAAAUGUAAAUACAUCUGUUUUAAACUGUGUUCAAUUUCUGUGUAAAUUUGUGUUAAGUGCAGGAGUGGCACAAUAUUGUUGAGCUAAUAAACAGGAACAACAUGAGCUCAAUCAGUGGAACAUUUGAGAUGCUGGAAAUCAGUAUAUGGGACAUUGAACAAAUGAGCGGAACAUGAGUGAAAUUAUACAAGAUGAAUCCCAGCCAUCGACUCUAAAGUAUGUUGAAAAUUAUACAUUCAUAAAAUGAAGUGGAAAUAUUUUGUCUAGAUGCAUUGUGUUAGUGAAAACUUUGAUUAAAUGUAAAAAGUAUGUCAAAA